GAGGCUGUAGCUCAAUUGGUAGAGCACCGGGCUGUGGCCCCGGGUGUUGCGGGUUCGAGUCCCGUCAGCCUCC
rnacentral:tRNA from 1 species